UCCUGGAUUGCUUCCUGGAUCUUCUGCUCUAACUGGAUCAACCUUUCACCGGAUUCAGACCAAGCUACACUAUAACCAAACAGUACUCACAAGUCCCCACAACUGAAAACUCCUAGGCUUCUUCUCCAGCUCAGCCACAGCAAACCUGUCCUUCCUCAAAAAAACUUCUCACUAUGGGCACCUCACACAGACCAACACCCCUGGACCCGGUUAUUUCUCUCCCAAUCUGGAUCACUCAUUGGCAAUUAUGAUUCCCACUUCAGGAACCCUUCCUGGAUCAAAUUCCUUAACGAUGUACUGUUUUCAAUAAAUUGUUAAACUUUU